CCUACGGGAGGCAGCAGUGGGGAAUAUUGGGCAAUGGAGGAAACUCUGACCCAGCGACGCCGCGUGCGGGAUGAAGGCCUUCGGGUUGUAAACCGCUUUCAGCAGGGAAGAAGCGAAAGUGACGGUACCUGCAGAAGAAGCACCGGCUAACUAUGUGCCAGCAGCCGCGGUAAUACAUAGGGUGCAAGCGUUGUCCGGAAUUAUUGGGCGUAAAGAGCUCGUAGGUGGUUCGUCACGUCGGAUGUGAAAAUCUGGGGCUUAACCCCAGACCUGCAUUCGAUACGGGCGAGCUUGAGUAUGGUAGGGGAGUCUGGAAUUCCUGGUGUAGCGGUGGAAUGCGCAGAUAUCAGGAGGAACACCAAUGGCGAAGGCAGGACUCUGGGCCAUUACUGACACUGAGGAGCGAAAGCGUGGGGAGCGAACAGGAUUAGAUACCCUGGUAGUCCACGCCGUAAACGGUGGGCACUAGUUGUGGGGACCUUCCACGGUCUCUGCGACGCAGCUAACGCAUUAAGUGCCCCGCCGUGGGGAGUACGAUCGCAAGAAUUAAACUCAAAGGAAUUGACGG
rnacentral:rRNA from 1 species